rnacentral:ncRNA from 2 species
UCCCUGCGGAUGCUAACGCAAUGU